CCUACGGGAGGCAGCAGUGAGGAAUAUUGGUCAAUGGACGGAAGUCUGAACCAGCCAUGCCGCGUGCAGGAAGACGGCCCUAUGAGUUGUAAACUGCUUUUGUACAAGGGUAAACCUGAAUACAUGUAUUCAGCUGAAAGUACUGUACGAAUAAGGACCGGCUAAUUCCGUGCCAGCAGCCGCGGUAAUACGGAGGAUCCAAGCGUUAUCCGGAUUUAUUGGGUUUAAAGGGUGCGUAGGCGGAUUGAUAAGUUAGUGGUGAAAUGUCCGGGCUUAACUCAGGAACUGCCGCUAAUACUGUGGAUCUAGAGUGUAGAUGCGGUAGGCGGAAUGUAUGGUGUAGCGGUGAAAUGCUUAGAGAUCAUGCAGAACACCGAUUGCGAAGGCAGCUUACCAAUCUAUAUCUGACGUUGAGGCACGAAAGCGUGGGGAGCAAACAGGAUUAGAUACCCUUGUAGUC
rnacentral:rRNA from 1 species